GAUUGAACGCUGGCGGCAGGCCUAACACAUGCAAGUCGAACGGUAACAGAUCUAGCUUGCUAGAUGCUGACGAGUGGCGGACGGGUGAGUAACGCGUAGGAAUCUACCUGGUAGUGGGGGACAACUUGGGGAAACUCAAGCUAAUACCGCAUACGCCCUAGGGGGGAAAGCGGGGGAUCUUCGGACCUCGCGCUAUCAGAUGAGCCUGCGUUAGAUUAGCUAGUUGGUGAGGUAAGGGCUCACCAAGGCGACGAUCUAUAGCUGGUCUGAGAGGAUGAUCAGCCACACUGGAACUGAGACACGGUCCAGACUCCUACGGGAGGCAGCAGUGGGGAAUAUUGCGCAAUGGGGGCAACCCUGACGCAGCCAUGCCGCGUGUGUGAAGAAGGCUCUAGGGUCGUAAAGCACUUUAAGUGGGGAGGAAAGGCAUAGGGUUAAUAGCUCUGUGCUGUGACGUUACCCACAGAAUAAGCACCGGCUAACUCCGUG
rnacentral:rRNA from 1 species